UAAACUCAAUUUAUGAAUUGCCUUUAUUGGAAUUGCAGGGGCAUCGGUAAUCCGAAUACUCUUCGUAUGCAUUUUUCACAAGAUUAAUUUUCUUUGUCUUGCAGAACCUAAAGUUUCCAUUCAAGCCAAUAUUCCUCUUGGCUUUUGGAGAUCCCUUGGGUUAUAUUUGGUUACUACUAGCAUUGGCCCUAUUGCUAAUAUUUGGGUUUUUGCUUCUCCUCAUUUUAUUUCUUCCUGGAAUUGUCAUACUCAGGAUCAAUGUGUCUCUAUUGAUUUUAUCUUCAGAAAUAUUAAUCAUAGGGUGACUUUUGUUUAUGCUAAGGCUUUAGCCUAUUCUUGUCGUCGUCUUUGGCAGAAUUUACGUGAGCUCUCAACUUCAGAGGAUUAUGUGACGGAGGUUUGGGUCACCAAUACUAUUAACCCUCAUCCGAUGAUUAAUUUACAAAUUAAGCAAAAGUCUCUCAGGAAAGGAAUUCAGUUUUAGAUCGUUACUUGCUGCAACAAGAGAUUCUUGCUAAAGAUAAAAGUCGUAUAAAAUGGCUCGAGGCUGGAGAUCGUAACACUUCUUUUUCCAUGGCAUUGCUAAUAAAAAACCUUCGCUUGCGGAUGCAGCUGUGAAUGACAAUUCUGGUCACGAUUCGCUUAUUCGAGAUUGCAUUCCUUCUAUUAUUUCUGAAGGUAAUAAUGACAUGCUUGUUGCUAUUCCAACAGAUGAGGAAAUUCGUUCUACUAUCUUCGGAAUGGAUUCUUCUAGUGCGCCAGGCCCUAACGGUUCACUGGUGUCUUCUUCAAAGAGUGUUGGGAUAUCAUUAAACCUGAUCUUAUCAAGGCUAUCCGCCAUUAUUUUUUUAUCGCGGGUGAGAUUGUUCCUGGCAUUAAUUCUAAUUUAAUGAUUCUCAUUCCUAAAAUUGAGCAUGCUAUUACUAUUGAUAAAUUUCGUCCAGUUGUUCUGUCUAACUUUAUUUAAUGAGUUUUUCAUUUGUCGAGUUGCUUAGGGGGUGCCAGCCUAGCUUAGCUGAUAUUUCUAGAUGCAUCUCCGACGAUUAACUUGCUCGAAUCUUAAAGAAAAAAAAAAAGAGAUUUGUAUCAUUCCAAGAUGAAGCUUCCUUCAUAAGAAUACACUGGGGCUUGGAUUAGAGAAGGAUUUAUAUGAUCCUAAGAAUCAGAAGCGGUCAACAUAAAUAAGACAUUUUUAUUAUAGCAGACAAGAAAUGUAAUUGUAAAAUAAAAAAUACCUUGGCUCAUUGUUUGAAGCAUAGUAAAAUUGAAAUCAAGAUUACAUAAGACUAAA